GGAGAGACUCGAGAGCCAGCCGCAAAGGAAGAAACUGGAAAGGGAGCAGCAGAAGAGACCUGAGAGGGAAUCUGCAUUUUGCAUUUCACAGAGGGCGUAAACUCCUGGAGGCAACCGUCGCUCUCCGGGACCCAGGCUGGGAAGACAGUAGGAUGUUUGAGCUAUAGUUAUGGACUAAAUAAAUCUGGGGCCCCGGGAGUGGAGUGAGGCGGAAUCUGAGGGGGUGUGGGUUGGCUUCUCAGUCUAACAAAAACUUCGUUUCCAGGAGGAUGGCAUCCACAUCUGCCAGGAGUGGGGACAAAAAGGACAUCAGGUCAUCUCAAGCUGCCGCCUCCUUAGGUGGAGGGCAGAAAUUAUCCUGCUCUGAAGAAUUCCUGACCCGAAUCAGCACAGAACUUACAGACGAAGCACUGUUUAUUGCUCGCUCCCGUUUGAGUCCUCUGCCCAAUAAGGAAAAGAACACAAAAGACCAAGGGACUCAGAUAUCUAGACAUGGUGAACGCUCUCCUUCUUCAUCUAGAGACCAGUCCCUGACUCACUCCCAACCAUAGCUGCUCUCCCCAGGAAUCUUCUGCCUCCUUGCCCAUCCUAGGCACAGUGCCCCUUAACUUCUAACUCAUUCAUUGUCACUACCCAGGAACCCCCUUGUCCCUACCUGCUCUAGCCACAACUCUUCUAAACAUGGGGAAAGUUGUUCCUUUAACUGGGGCCUCUAAUUCCAGUGUUCUUCACUAAGACCCGAGGCACUGACACCCGGUGAGUGAGGCUCUGUCCUUCUCCCAGGAGCCUGUGGGGAGAGAGCAAGGGUUGACAGCAUCCCAGCAGGGUAGGGGGAAGUUUUCAACCAUGAAGUUCUAUUCUAUUCCCUCCUGAUGCUCCAGUUCCUGAUUCUCAGCCUAUUCUGUUGUCUUCUGUCAUCUCCAGCUCUGACAAAAAUCGAACCCGAACCAAGGCACACCUUCUGCCAUCUCCUCGUGAAAAACAAAUUAAUGGUCAGUGACAACACAAUAUGGAAUGGUGCCUACCUAAGAAGAGAAAACAAUAAGACUAUUUUUACCCCAUCCUCAUCUGGGCUAGGAAGGAAAGGCAUCAUAGAGCUUCCUGAAGAAGGAAACACCUAAAGAAAAAAAUUUUCUAGGGAAACAGCUCUAAGUAUUCUAAGCAGUAGGGAUUGUAUGGGCCAAGGUACAGAGGGACCACUCCCCAACAGCCUGACAACUGGAGGAUGAGCUCGGCCCUCCCUAGUACUGCUCUCUCAGCUUCUUGCCUUCCCCCACUAUGUCCCUCAGUGAAAACCUCAAGGCCUCUCUUUUGCAACUGGCUAAGCCUCUCAUCUUGGGAGGAACUCCUGGUCAUAAGCAAUGCCACCUUUGAAACCAAGAAAAUCUUCUGGAACUGUCGCGGGGCCCUCCACCCUCCGUGGGCAAAUGCUACUGAGAAGAAAAGGUUUUAAUAAAGAACCAGGAUCCUCCCUUCCCCGAGAUGGUGGCAGUGUUCUGGAGGAGCUCCUGGCAGGGGAUGCCUUUCUUCUACAGGGAGACAGUGCAUGUCAGCAUUUCUCUAAAAUCCAGUUGUCAGACACCUGCUAGAGCCAAACCCACUGCCUGGUACCAUUUAACUAGCCCUUGCAUCCAGGAGGCCACUCUUGAUGGUCAGGAGAGCCUUUGCCUUGGGUUCUCAGGACCCUGGGCCUCUGCUUCUCCCUCUGAGCUUGUGGGGUCGCAUGGUUAAGAGAGCGUGUUGACCUGUUACCAGACAGAAGGUGAUGCAGGAAGCCCUGAGGGGUUUGUAUUUGCGGCCCUUGUGGCUCCUCGUUUGUUCCUCUGAGGAAGUCCAUUCACCUCUUUCAGCCUUACUUUCCUUAACUGAACACAGAGUAGCCGGGCAGUGGUGGCGCGCACACCCUUGAUCUCAGCACUAGGGAGGCAGAAGCAGGUAGAUCUCUGUGAGUUCAAGGUCAACUUGGUCUAUAGAAUGAGUUCUAGGACAGCUAGAGCUACACAGAGAAACCCUGUCUCAAAAAACCCAAACAAACAACCCCAAAACUGUAAGUAAUAAAUUAUCCCAGGUUCCCAAGUUCCUUACAAGGAUUAAAAAAACAACGGAAGGUGGGUUAUCCCUCUUAAUUCUGAAUAAUCUCAGCACUCAGUAGGCAGAGGCAGGAAGAUUGCUUCCAAUUCAUAGUAUCAAGCCAGUGUGGACUACACAGUGAUGUCCUGUCUCAAAAACAGAAGACAAAACAAAAACAGAAACAAAACAACUAGAAUCCUACCCACUCAACAGGCUCCUGCUGGAUCCCAGGAGGAUCUGGGGUUCAAGACCAACCUGGACACAUAAGGCCCCAUCUCAAAAACAAAAGUAUUCAAUACAAAAGCUGUCU
rnacentral:lncRNA from 1 species